UGGAGCAAGCGUUAUCCGGAUUUACUGGGUGUAAAGGGAGCGCAGACGGCAGGGCAAGUCUGAUGUGAAAGUCCGGGGCUCAACCCCGGGACUGCAUUGGAAACUGUCCGGCUAGAGUGUCGGAGGGGUAAGCGGAAUUCCUAGUGUAGCGGUGAAAUGCGUAGAUAUUAGGAGGAACACCAGUGGCGAAGGCGGCUUACUGGACGAUGACUGACGCUGAGGCUCGAAAGCGUGGGGAGCAA
rnacentral:rRNA from 1 species